GUGGUCAGUGGCUGCCCCAGUGAGCAGCACAGCUACAGAGGUUCAGGAAAACCAACCCCAGGAGCGUGGAUGUUCACUGCCUUCCUUCAACCACUCCAGGCAGGAUUCCUGCGGAGCUGUAUUUACUUUACAUCCAUGUGAACUGCUGUCAUCACUACUGUGUCCAAGCCCAGAGGAUGAACUGGAAAAGAAGAGAGGGGGAAAAUAAUAAAAAGAGGAAAUUGGUUUUCACAACACACUCAAAGCCUGAGUAACAGAGGAGAACUUUAAUUAUCUCCAGUCACAAAGAGAGACAGGAAAUUUGGACUUUUAAUUAGCCAUUUGGAGUGCAGUUGGGUAUUUUUUUAGCUAGAUAAUUUAAACGCGAAUAAUUCAAGUCUGACUAAAUGAAAGUCACAUAAUCAGAAUGCAAAUAAUUGAAUUUCUACUGCAUUCAUUAAUUCAGUGUGGAGGUGUGUGUGAAGACUACUAUGAUGAGCUGUCACAGCUCAAUAAAAUCUCAGUCAAUUAAUUUUUUCAUUAUCUUAGUAUUAUAUCAACAAAAAAGUGAAGUGUGUAUAUAUAUCUAUACACGUGCAUAUGUGCAUACUAUGUAUUAUAUAAAUACAUAUACAUUAAAUCAAAAUGCAAGGAAAUACCUUUCUGAAUCAUAAUCUAUAUCAUUUUCUUUUUUUCCUUCUUCAUCUUCUUCAGGGAAACGUCUAUUCAUUAAGGCAAACUUGUGAAUUGCUUCUUCCACAGAGUACUUAGUCUGCCCAGAAACACACGCCUCAAUGUCUUCUGAAUUCAGAUGGCUCUGUAAGAAGAGAUUAAGAGAAGAGUUAUAGAGCAACAAUCCAUUAAUACGAACUUGGAUCGUGAAGUCUGUGAAGUCUGAGCAGAGUGUUUCCUGUGGCCUCUGUCAGCGGUUUCCUGCCUGCCAUAAGUACAAGGAACUGUUCAUGGGAUUGUACUCGUGGCUUUGUUUCUGUUGGAAAUGUGUUUUAUUUUCUUUAUAAAAUAAUGGGUAAUCUUUAAAAUUGAUUUUAGAUGGUUUGAGGCAUUACACCACAACAGUAAUGAGCACUAAUGCCAAUGAUAUUGGACACAAAUUCAUUUUAGCUUUAUUUCAUGUCUGAAGCAAUUCUACUGAGCCUUGAACUGCUCACGUGUUGUUAUUAACUUGCUAGUAACUUAACACAUGGGUACAGCAAACAAAAGUGAUCAGAGUCCAGGUUGAUCGGGACCUCAAGGCUACUGUCCUUUUUCUUGAGCUAUAAUUCAAUUUCCAAUUUUACUGUACAUUAGACUCAUUAUUUCCCAGCGUUUUCUUUUUCUGCUCAAUACUGCCAUCUGGAGGACACACAGAUGAAAAGAGAAGGAGCCAGGCUCACCCAGCUCACAAUUCCAAAGAGCCAGAAAGAUGUGGCUGGGGAGGGGACAUCUGAACACUCCCCCAGGCCUAGAGUUCAAACCAGUGAGUCGGCUAGGUACAGUUUUGGUUUUUGGAAUCUCCUCUGUUUCUCUGGCUAAAUUCAUGCCACCAUACUCCAUGAGUUUUAAAUAAGCAAAAAUAAUUUUUAAAUGUAUUUAUAUGCUUAUUUUAGUCAGAUAGUUCAUUCUGAAAUUUAAAAUGAAAAUUUUUGAGAGUGUUUUCCCAUCUGGUUAGGUGAGCAUAAUUAAUUUAUUUUGAGUACUAUUUGGCUUACUAUCAGAGAGGGCUGUGACUGCCACCAUCAUAAUAUUAAAUACUAUUUUUUCCUUAGUCAUGUUUGUGCCAUAUUUUCCACAAACAAAUCUAAUAGCCCAAAAUCAAUUUCAAACCUAAUAUAAAGAGUACUUUGUAAAACAGUCAAUAAAAUGUCAUUUGUAGAAACCUCCAUUUAAAAAGUAUAUGAUUUUCAAACCUUUAUAAAAGGAAUAAAAAAUAGCCUCUAGGAUUUUAAAAGAAUUUCUAGAAAGAUAUUUAUAGUGCAAAUCAGAAGUUAUUCCUUUCCCCAUAACAGUUUUAGACUAAACAAAGCAAAAUCUGUUUUUUUUCCCUAAACUGGACACAGUUGAAAAGCACAGUUUUCCUCAACAUGAUUUUAUUAGAUGUAUUAUAUGCUGGUUUAGCUGAGAAUAUAUAGCUAUGCAAAAUCAUUUCAUCCUAACUAAGGAUGUCCUGGGUCUGCUGAACCCAAUACAAUGAUAUAUAUACAUAACUGCAUAGUACAUGGAAGGUUAGCAGUUUGAUGUAGAAAAAAAAAAUUAACUCAGCCUGUUUAGCUCUUACUAUAAGAAAAAAUAAAACCUACAAAUCUUCAUUGAAGACAUUCAUGAUCUAUGCUGUGGUGCCCUCUAUUGAACACAAAGACAUAAAAAUCGUGUGUGUGUAAAACUAGCUGUCAUGGUUCAACACUAGCCUUUUGUAAAAAAUCUUUAAUAUUCCUUAAUAUUUGAAGAAAUACAAAACCAUGAUACUAAAGUCUAAACUGUAGGGUAAAUGUAGUUGUAUUAAUGGGAUGAAUUCAGUAAAGAAGGGAAGCGGCUCCCAGUCAUGAACAAAUCUAUUCAAACCUAAAUUGAAAAUCCCAUUCAAACCUAAAAAUUAGUAGGAAUUCCAUUUUUCAUAGUUAGAGACUUACUGAGUUUAUAUUUUUUAGCCUAUAACUUUCUUUUCAUAACUAUUAGAAGGGACUUUAAGUUUAUAAUUACUCAGGGGCAAGAAUACAAAAGGGAGAUUAUAGUUAAGACUGAAGAAAAAUGAAUAUAUUUGAAAAAUCUCACAAUCAUACCAAAUUUAGCCAGCAUUUAAGAGUACUGCUAAUUUUAAAUUUGCCAGGUUCUGGGAUUCAUAUAGUAUGUCCAUCUUUCCUAUAAUUUCUUUAUCUAUAAAACUGAGAUAAUACCCAACUCCUAAGAUUUUUAGUACUGAGACUAAAACAUGUAAAAUGCCAAACACGUAGAAAGUGUUCGAUAAAUGGUAGAAAUUAUUCUUAUUUGGCACCUAGUCAAAGAAACAAUUUUCCAAUUCCUCUACAAAGAUCAGUACUUUCUUAUUACAUAUGUAUCAUUUCACAAAUGACCUUAAAGAAAAAUAGGUAUAUAUACACAUAUACAAAGACAUUGUGGUUUCAAAAGGUUUGAACAUAUUUAGUGCUUCUGGUUCAUAACUUCAAAACUCACAUGAAAACCAGGCUUUAAAAAUGCAUGCGAAAAACCUACAAUACAAGCAUGUUUCCAUGUUUUAAUGCUGUGGUUCCUAAAAUUCCUCUACAAACAAGGUACAGGCUAUUGAUGGCUGGCCCUACUUAACAGGUAACCAGUGGGGGCUCAGAGGAUGUCAAACUGGGGCCAAGACACAGUGCCAAGGUACACAUCACAUCCAGUUCCCUAGAGUGGACCCUGGUUGGGUGAGGGGAGGGGGCACCAGGGGCAAAGACAUGGAGGGUACUACCUUACACAACCCGGGCAAGCACAGAUCUGAGGGACACAGAAGGGAGGCUGGGGAGGGUCAGCAGGGGCCGCAGAGCUCAGUUCAGGCCUGAAGCCAGCCCUGUGGUAUUUGACUCCUCACUUCCUUCAGGUUUAGGCUGUGUGGAAGCACCAGCUUUCAUUUUUAAAGUGAAAUAUUAACUUGUAGACAAAUGUUCACAUACCACAGGGGAACAAAUGAUAUCACAAGAGAACCCCCUGCCAAUUCCAUGAUUUGACAAUCCAAUCGGAUGACAAUCCAGAUUCAGUGUUAAUGAAUCUAGCCGUAGCCCUGGAUGUGUACACAGUGCUCCCCCUAGAAGGAAGUGUCAGGACAAGGACUUGUUCAUUCUGUGCAGUCCUAUGUCCGUGGCACGCAGCCUGGCCCAAAGCAUUCACUUAAUAAACAUCUAUUGAAUGAAGGAUCGCUGCAUGGUUUUUAGAGUUUUUUUCAAGUCCUUUUCAUCUGUAGGACACAACCAC
rnacentral:lncRNA from 1 species